GACGAACCGUCCUAACGUUGUCCGGAAUCACUGGGCGUAAAGGGCGCGUAGGCGGCUUGAUAAGGUUGCGGUGAAAGCCCGGGGCUCAACCCCGGGUCGGCCGUGGCAACUGUCGAGCUGGAGCACUGUAGAGGCAGGUGGAAUUCCGGGUGUAGCGGUGGAAUGCGUAGAGAUCCGGAAGAACACCGGUGGCGAAGGCGGCCUGCUGGGCAGUGGCUGACGCUGAGGCGCGACAGCGUGGGGAGCAAACAGG
rnacentral:rRNA from 1 species